GACGAACGCUGGCGGCGUGCUUAACACAUGCAAGUCGAACGGUAAGGCCCUUCGGGGUACACGAGUGGCGAACGGGUGAGUAACACGUGGGUGAUCUGCCCUGAACUUCGGGAUAAGCCUGGGAAACUGGGUCUAAUACCGGAUAGGACUACUGCCUGCAUGGGUGGUGGUGGAAAGCUUUUGCGGUGUGGGAUGGGCCCGCGGCCUAUCAGCUUGUUGGUGGGGUGAUGGCCUACCAAGGCGACGACGGGUAGCCGGCCUGAGAGGGGAACCGGCCACACUGGGACUGAGAUACGGCCCAGACUCCUACGGGAGGCAGCAGUGGGGAAUAUUGCACAAUGGGCGCAAGCCUGAUGCAGCGACGCCGCGUGAGGGAUGACGGCCUUCGGGUUGUAAACCUCUUUCAGCACCGACGAAGCGCAAGUGACGGUAGGUGCAGAAGAAGGACCGGCCAACUACGUGCCAGCCGCCGCAGUAA
rnacentral:rRNA from 1 species